rnacentral:rRNA from 1 species
UAGCAUAUCAAUAAGCGGAGGAAAAGAACCAACAGGGAUUGCCCUAGUAACGGCGAGUGAAGCGGCAACAGCUCAAAUUUGAAAUCUGGCCCUCGGGUCCGAGUUGUAAUUUGUAGAGGAUGCUUUUGGUGAGGUACCUUCCGAGUUCCCUGGAACGGGACGCCAUAGAGGGUGAGAGCCCCGUCUGGUCGGAUACCAAUCCUCUGUAAAGCUCCUUCGACGAGUCGAGUAGUUUGGGAAUGCUGCUCUAAAUGGGAGGUAUAUGUCUUCUAAAGCUAAAUAUUGGCCAGAGACCGAUAGCGCACAAGUAGAGUGAUCGAAAGAUGAAAAGCACUUUGAAAAGAGGGUUAAACAGUACGUGAAAUUGUUGAAAGGGAAGCGCUUGUGACCAGACUUGGGCCCGGUUAAUCAUCCAGCGUUCUCGCUGGUGCACUUGGCCGGCCCAGGCCAGCAUCAGUUCGGUGUGGGGGAUAAAGGCGGCGGGAAUGUGGCUCCUCCGGGAGUGUUAUAGCCCACCGUGUAAUACCCUGUGCUGGACUGAGGUUCGCGCAUUCGCAAGGAUGCUGGCGUAAUGGUCAUUAGCGACCCGUCUUGAAACACGGACCAAGGAGUCGUCUUCGUAUGCGAGUGUUCGGGUGUUAAACCCCUACGCGUAAUGAAAGUGAACGCAGGUGAGAGCUUCGGCGCAUCAUCGACCGAUCCUGAUGUUCUCGGAUGGAUUUGAGUAAGAGCAUACGGGGCCGGACCCGAAAGAAGGUGAACUAUGCCUGUAUAGGGUGAAGCCAGAGGAAACUCUGGUGGAGGCUCGCAGCGGUUCUGACGUGCAAAUCGAUCGUCAAAUAUGGGCAUGGGGGCGAAAGACUAAUCGAACCUUCUAGUAGCUGGUUUCCGCCGA